rnacentral:rRNA from 1 species
GACGAACGCUGGCGGCGUGCUUAACACAUGCAAGUCGAACGGAAAGGCCCUGCUUUUGUGGGGUGCUCGAGUGGCGAACGGGUGAGUAACACGUGAGUAACCUGCCCUUGACUCUGGGAUAACUUCAGGAAACUGGGGCUAAUACCGGAUAGGAGCUCCUGCUGCAUGGUGGGGGUUGGAAAGUUUCGGCGGUUGGGGAUGGACUCGCGGCUUAUCAGCUUGUUGGUGGGGUAGUGGCUUACCAAGGCUUUGACGGGUAGCCGGCCUGAGAGGGUGACCGGCCACAUUGGGACUGAGAUACGGCCCAGACUCCUACGGGAGGCAGCAGUGGGGAAUAUUGCACAAUGGGCGGAAGCCUGAUGUAGCAACGCCGCGUGCGGGAUGACGGCCUUCGGGUUGUAAACCGCUUUCGCCUGUGACGAAGCGUGAGUGACGGUAAUGGGUAAAGAAGCACCGGCUAACUACGUG